UACGUAGGGGGCAAGCGUUGUCCGGAAUCAUUGGGCGUAAAGCGCGCGUAGGCGGCCCGGUAAGUCCGCUCUGAAAGUCCAGGGCUCAACCCUGGGAUGCCGGUCGAUACUGCCGGACUAGAGUUCGGAAGAGGCGAGUGGAAUUCCCGGUGUAGCGGUGGAAAUGACGCAGAUAUCGGGAGGAACACCAAUGGCGAAGGCAGCUCGCUGGGAC
rnacentral:rRNA from 1 species